CAUUGACACAACAGGAAUAUUUCGUCUCUUUCAAGAAGUAUGCUUUCGUUUGGGAGGGUUGGAAUUCGGAUAUCGAAAUUUUGGUUCGUAUCAUAGGCGAUGAAAGAACCAUCGGAGACGAAGCACCCUAACACCACGGAAAGGAACUCGAAAACGAAAGGGAAGAACAACAAUUUUGAGUUUUGUAAAGUAUGCAAGCUCAAUCACAAUCUAGGUCGCCGCCAUAACUACCUUCCUAACCACGUCAAAUCGCUCUCAACUUUCCUAUCUCGAUUUCAGUCCAAACUCUCCGAUGUACGGCUUUUUCUUAAGAACCCUAACUUACUUCGUCCAGAGCUUGCGUCUCGCAAUAGGUUUUGGUGCGUCUUUUGCGAUUCUGAUGUUGCGGAGAACGACAGUUCUUUUGCCUGCAUUCUAGUGACUCUAGACGGGCUUGACCAUUUACACGAACAAAGCUGUAGAACGUUAGCGGAUUUUUGGAUUGAAAAUGCAAUUAGCCAUCUUGCAAGUGCAGAUCACUUGAAAAACUUAAAAAGUUUUAUGUGGAAACAUGGUGGGGGAAUGGAUCGAAUUGAUGGUUUCCGGAUUUCAGAGGCAGAUAUUGCUAAGUAUGAAAAGAAGUGCAUAUCAAUGAAGAAGGAAUGUGCUAAUGAACAAUCUCAUGGCCCUAUGAUUGGACCUUCAAAUGAUAUCCACAAUGAACUGAAAUUUGAUUAUGUAGAUAACUUUGACAGACAUAAUUCAAGUUUUCUAAAUGGUGUUUCACCUUUACAAUAUCAUACAAAUGAGAAAUAUCAGGUAUCCCAUUCAGAUAUGUCUGGAGGUUAUGAUGACAAAUUGUUGCUGUUGGGUUCAAAUGCAAAGCGUUCAAGUAACUUAAAAGGUAAUGCAGGCAAAAGCUGCUUAAAUGAAGGUUAUCCUGACAAUAAACCGGGGAAGAUAUGCCAGGUAUAUGCACAUAACAGGGAAGCUAAUGGGGAUGAUAGUUCAUUAGGUUUGCAGAAGCUCACUCGAAUUUCUUCUACAGUCCAUGAAACGGACACCGGAAACGUGCAUUCCGGAGCACCCCCUCCUUGGUUUAAUGCAAAGAAUGGAAUUCAUGUUGAUCCUGGAAUGGAAACAGAUCCUGUGAUAAAACCUGUAAAAUCAAAGUUAAAUCCUAAAAGGGUUGGAGCUGCUUGGGCUGAAAAAAGAAAGAUAGAAAUGGAGAUGGAGAGAAAUGGGGAACUACCUGCUAAGAGAUUUGAUGGCAGCUGGCUUCCAAAUUUCGGUAGAGUAUGGCAAUCAGGAAGCAGAAAAGACUCCCGGAAAGAAUUUCAGGUGGAAACCAAGAAACCUCUCAAGGAUGAAAAAAAUCAUUCUGAUGAUUCAUCGUUGCAAUUGCAGCCUUAUAUAAGCAAACGAAUGCGCAGAGAAGCCAAUGAAUGAUUGCUUCUGCUAUGAUGACUUUGUAUUUUGAUGAGUAUAAAUUUCAGAGGCAAAAUGAGAAAUUGGUGGAUUGGAACUGACAACUCAUAGGACACAAGAAAUUGUUGAAGGUGGAACAGAAAUUCUAGACGAAAGAGAUUAUCAACUUAAAUAGAGCGUGCAAAAGGCGUCAAUUCAAUGUGGUAAACUGGUUUUGGGCAAAUAAUUGGUAGAAACUGCACUUGGUUAUGCACUAUAUUGGGGCCUCUAUUCAUUUUCUCAAGAUCCGGCUUUUCUACAAACACGCUGCUAUGAGACAUUAUAUGAUAACACAAAUGAAUGCUCAUGGUCAACUACCUCAUCCUCCAUCUUUUCUACCAUCAUUUGCAUCCGGUGGUGAUGAUGAUCUUUUAACAUAAUUUGAUCCUCUUUCAACUACCUCCUCCUCUUGGACAACACUACUUGAUGCUCUACUUUCUGCUGCUCCAGUAAGAGAUUAAAAGAUUCCCCAAUUUUCCUCCCCAUCAACUACUUUUGAAUCAAAUUCUUGUAAGUCGCCUGCUACGGUUUAACACCACAUGUGUUGGUCAUUUCAACAAGCACCUUGUGGCUUGUGUGUGUGCGCCAAUGGUCAUGUUUUGGCAAAAAGUCCGUUUACUAAAACAUCUAAAAGAUUUGCAUCAGCCUAACAGUUUCUCGAUCAUAUUUACAGAAAAGAUCAGAGCUUUA